AAAUUGAAGAGUUUGAUCAUGGCUCAGAUUGAACGCUGGCGGCAGGCCUAACACAUGCAAGUCGAGCGGUAGCACAGAGAGCUUGCUCUCGGGUGACGAGCGGCGGACGGGUGAGUAAUGUCUGGGAAACUGCCUGAUGGAGGGGGAUAACUACUGGAAACGGUAGCUAAUACCGCAUAAUGUCGCAAGACCAAAGUGGGGGACCUUCGGGCCUCAUGCCAUCAGAUGUGCCCAGAUGGGAUUAGCUAGUAGGUGGGGUAACGGCUCACCUAGGCGACGAUCCCUAGCUGGUCUGAGAGGAUGACCAGCCACACUGGAACUGAGACACGGUCCAGACUCCUACGGGAGGCAGCAGUGGGGAAUAUUGCACAAUGGGCGCAAGCCUGAUGCAGCCAUGCCGCGUGUGUGAAGAAGGCCUUCGGGUUGUAAAGCACUUUCAGCGGGGAGGAAGGCGNNCGAUUGACGUUACCCGCAGAAGAAGCACCGGCUAACUCCGUGCCAGCAGCCGCGGUAAUACGGAGGGUGCAAGCGUUAAUCGGAAUUACUGGGCGUAAAGCGCACGCAGGCGGUCUGUCAAGUCGGAUGUGAAAUCCCCGGGCUCAACCUGGGAACUGCAUUCGAAACUGGCAGGCUAGAGUCUUGUAGAGGGGGGUAGAAUUCCAGGUGUAGCGGUGAAAUGCGUAGAGAUCUGGAGGAAUACCGGUGGCGAAGGCGGCCCCCUGGACAAAGACUGACGCUCAGGUGCGAAAGCGUGGGGAGCAAACAGGAUUAGAUACCCUGGUAGUCCACGCCGUAAACGAUGUCGAUUUGGAGGUUGUGCCCUUGAGGCGUGGCUUCCGGAGCUAACGCGUUAAAUCGACCGCCUGGGGAGUACGGCCGCAAGGUUAAAACUCAAAUGAAUUGACGGGGGCCCGCACAAGCGGUGGAGCAUGUGGUUUAAUUCGAUGCAACGCGAAGAACCUUACCUGGUCUUGACAUCCACAGAACUUUCCAGAGAUGGAUUGGUGCCUUCGGGAACUGUGAGACAGGUGCUGCAUGGCUGUCGUCAGCUCGUGUUGUGAAAUGUUGGGUUAAGUCCCGCAACGAGCGCAACCCUUAUCCUUUGUUGCCAGCGGUUAGGCCGGGAACUCAAAGGAGACUGCCAGUGAUAAACUGGAGGAAGGUGGGGAUGACGUCAAGUCAUCAUGGCCCUUACGACCAGGGCUACACACGUGCUACAAUGGCAUAUACAAAGAGAAGCGACCUCGCGAGAGCAAGCGGACCUCAUAAAGUAUGUCGUAGUCCGGAUUGGAGUCUGCAACUCGACUCCAUGAAGUCGGAAUCGCUAGUAAUCGUAGAUCAGAAUGCUACGGUGAAUACGUUCCCGGGCCUUGUACACACCGCCCGUCACACCAUGGGAGUGGGUUGCAAAAGAAGUAGGUAGCUUAACCUUCGGGAGGGCGCUUACCACUUUGUGAUUCAUGACUGGGGUGAAGUCGUAACAAGGUAACCGUAGGGGAACCUGCGGUUGGAUCACCUCCUUACCUUAAAGAA
rnacentral:rRNA from 1 species